rnacentral:rRNA from 1 species
UACAGAGGCCUCGAGCGUUAGGCGGAAUCACUGGGCUUAAAGCGUGUGUAGGCGGACUUCUAAGUGCCUUGUGAAAUCCCACGGCUCACCCGUGGAACUGCUGGGCAUACUGGGAGUCUUGAGCCACCUAGGGGCGAGCGGAACAAAUGGUGGAGCGGUGAAAUGCGUAGAUAUCAUUUGGAACGCCAAUGGUGAAAACAACUCGCUGGGGGUGUGCUGACGCUGAGACACGAAAGCCAGGGGAGCGAACGGG